ensembl:misc_RNA Metazoa_SRP Metazoan signal recognition particle RNA
ACUGGGCAUGGUGGCGCAUGCCUGUAGUCCCAGCUCUUCAGGAGGCUGACGGGGGAAGAUCGCUUGAGCUCAGGAGUUCUGGGCUGUAGUCUGCUAUGCCAGUCGGGUGUCCACACUAAGUUCAGCAUCAAUAUAGUGACCUCCCGGGGGUGGGGGACCUCCAGAUUGCCUAGGAAAGGGUGAACUGGCCCAGGUUGGAAUCGGAGCAGGUCAAAACUCCCAUGCUGAUCAAUAGUGGGAUCGUGCUUGGGUAUAGCCACUGCAUGCCAGCCUGGGCAACGUAGUGAGGGCCCAUCUCU